GGUGGAAGCCUUCGCUACAAGAAAUGAGUCGUGGUUUGUGAGCGCUCAACGCAACGGUCGGAAAGAUCCCACCUUCCCACACAAAUCCAGUUUCGCUCUAGCCCCAAACCCUAGCCCCAUCUCUACGGGUCCGGAUCGGCUGCGCCCCCGCCGGAGUCAGCUGCCGCAUUGCUCGCCGAGAGGCCUCGCCGCCGGUGGGAUGUCUCGGCCGUCCACUUUUGCCCGGUCAGUUCGUUUCGUUCCCCUGCCACUUUUCGAUUUCGUGUCCAAUCUAUCUGGUUUUCUGGUGUGGCUUGUAGAGGGAUCUCGCCAUCAUCGAUCGCCUACCGGAGCAACUGCCGGUCCAGGAGGCCGCUGCGUCUCGCCGCAUCCAAUCUGGUUCGGUUGGAUUUGGGUUUCGUGCCAGCCUUACCUGGGUUUCGGUUUCUUUUACUUCUCUGAGUUGGAUUGCCCAGUCUCUUGUGCCUUUUUUUAUUCGAGUUCCCUUUUCCUGGUUCGCAAUACCAAGUUGGUCAUGUGCUGGGGCUCGUGCUUAAUGACUACGUGCGUGCUUUUUCUCCUACUUGUCUGAUUCCUUCGCGGCAAGUUUGGCACGAUUCGACCGGUGGAUUGAUUUGGGUUUUCCUUUUGUUGUACUUAUGGCGAGAUGUGCGAUUGGAGCGGUGGAUUGAUUUGUGCUCGUUUCUGUUGUCCUCAUGACGAGAUGUGCGCUUUGAGCGGGUGGCUGAGUGAUUUGGAAAUAUGAACGGUGGAUUGAUUUGAGCAACACAGAGGGAACCUUUCAUUAUCUGCAAUUUUACAUUGUAAUAUGAACUACUGCUAUUAAAAUAUAUUUUAGUCUCUCUUUUCUCCCU